AUUGAACGCUGGCGGCAGGCUUAACACAUGCAAGUCGAGCGGGGGAAGGUAGCUUGCUACUGGACCUAGCGGCGGACGGGUGAGUAAUGCUUAGGAAUCUGCCUAUUAGUGGGGGGCAACAUCUCGAAAGGGAUGCUAAUACCGCAUACGUCCUACGGGAGAAAGCAGGGGAUCUUCGGACCUUGCGCUAAUAGAUGAGCCUAAGUCGGAUUAGCUAGUUGGUGGGGUAAAGGCCUACGAAGGCGACGAUCUGUAGCGGGUCUGAGAGGAUGAUCCGCCACACUGGGACUGAGACACGGCCCAGACUCCUACGGGAGGCAGCAGUGGGGAAUAUUGGACAAUGGGGGGAACCCUGAUCCAGCCACGCCGCGUGUGUGAAGAAGGCCUUAUGGUUGUAAAGCACUUUAAGCGAGGAGGAGGCUACUCUAGUUAAUACCUAGGGAUAGUGGACGUUACUCGCAGAAUAAGCACCGGCUAACUCUGUGCCAGCCGCCGCAGUAA
rnacentral:rRNA from 1 species